rnacentral:rRNA from 2 species
CAGUGCGGGCAGCUAUACAUGCAAGUCGAGCGAACAGAUGAGAAGCUUGCUUCUCUGAUGUUAGCGGCGGACGGGUGAGUAACACGUGGGUAACCUACCUAUAAGACUGGGAUAACUCCGGGAAACCGGGGCUAAUACCGGAUAAUAUUUUGAACCGCAUGGUUCAAUAGUGAAAGACGGUUUCGGCUGUCACUUAUAGAUGGACCCGCGCCGUAUUAGCUAGUUGGUAAGGUAACGGCUUACCAAGGCGACGAUACGUAGCCGACCUGAGAGGGUGAUCGGCCACACUGGAACUGAGACACGGUCCAGACUCCUACGGGAGGCAGCAGUAGGGAAUCUUCCGCAAUGGGCGAAAGCCUGACGGAGCAACGCCGCGUGAGUGAUGAAGGUCUUCGGAUCGUAAAACUCUGUUGUUAGGGAAGAACAAAUUUGUUAGUAACUGAACAAGUCUUGACGGUACCUAACCAGAAAGCCACGGCUAACUACGUGCCAGCAGCCGCGGUAAUACGUAGGUGGCAAGCGUUAUCCGGAAUUAUUGGGCGUAAAGCGCGCGUAGGCGGUUUCUUAAGUCUGAUGUGAAAGCCCACGGCUCAACCGUGGAGGGUCAUUGGAAACUGGGAAACUUGAGUGCAGAAGAGGAGAGUGGAAUUCCAUGUGUAGCGGUGAAAUGCGCAGAGAUAUGGAGGAACACCAGUGGCGAAGGCGGCUCUCUGGUCUGUAACUGACGCUGAUGUGCGAAAGCGUGGGGAUCAAACAGGAUUAGAUACCCUGGUAGUCCACGCCGUAAACGAUGAGUGCUAAGUGUUAGGGGGUUUCCGCCCCUUAGUGCUGCAGCUAACGCAUUAAGCACUCCGCCUGGGGAGUACGACCGCAAGGUUGAAACUCAAAGGAAUUGACGGGGACCCGCACAAGCGGUGGAGCAUGUGGUUUAAUUCGAAGCAACGCGAAGAACCUUACCAAAUCUUGACAUCCUUUGACCGCUCUAGAGAUAGAGUCUUCCCCUUCGGGGGACAAAGUGACAGGUGGUGCAUGGUUGUCGUCAGCUCGUGUCGUGAGAUGUUGGGUUAAGUCCCGCAACGAGCGCAACCCUUAAGCUUAGUUGCCAUCAUUAAGUUGGGCACUCUAGGUUGACUGCCGGUGACAAACCGGAGGAAGGUGGGGAUGACGUCAAAUCAUCAUGCCCCUUAUGAUUUGGGCUACACACGUGCUACAAUGGAUAAUACAAAGGGCAGCGAAUCCGCGAGGCCAAGCAAAUCCCAUAAAAUUAUUCUCAGUUCGGAUUGUAGUCUGCAACUCGACUACAUGAAGCUGGAAUCGCUAGUAAUCGUAGAUCAGCAUGCUACGGUGAAUACGUUCCCGGGUCUUGUACACACCGCCCGUCACACCACGAGAGUUUGUAACACCCGAAGCCGGUGGAGUAACCUUUUAGGAGCUAGCCGUCGAAGGUGGACAAUUG